CGUAAGGAGCGGUGGACUGUACAGAAGUGAGAAUGCUGGCAUAAGUAGCGAGAAAUAAGUGAGAAUCUUAUUGGCCGAAAACCUAAGGUUUCCUGGGGAAGGUUCGUCCGCCCAGGGUUAGUCGGGACCUAAGCCGAGGCCGAAAGGCGUAGGUGAUGGACAAUCGGUUGAUAUUCCGAUACCGCCUAUUUACGUUUGAGAAAUGGGGUGACGCAGUAGGAUAAGAUGUGCGCACUAUUGGAUGUGCGUCUAAGCAUUUAGGCAUGCUUGAUAGGCAAAUCCGUCAAGCUAAGCUGAGAUGUGAUGGGGAGCCAUUUAUGGCGAAGUAUCUGAUUCCACACUGCCAAGAAAAGCCUCUAUCGAGUGAAUAGGUGCCCGUACCGCAAACCGACACAGGUAGGUGAGG
rnacentral:rRNA from 1 species